ACUACAUUUCCUCUACCAAGAUGGUAGAUGGUCUUGAUGUUGUAGUCCUUUAAGAGGUUCAUCCAACCUCUCUGUCUCAUGUUCAACUCCCGCUGUAAGAAAAUGUACUUUAAACUUUGUAGUUACAGUAAAUUUCAAAGGUCUGACCAAACAGGUAAUGACACCAUAUCUUUAAGGAAAAGAUGAUGGCCCCCAACUCCAAAUCGUGAGUAGGGUAGUUUUGCUCAUGGGGCU
rnacentral:lncRNA from 1 species